UCUUUGAACAUAUUUUCUGAAAUAAACAACUGUAUUUUUUACCAAGGACAAUUUCGUCAAUUUACUUUUUAAAAAAGUUGGGAAUAACGAUAGUUGCGAAAAUGGGCUGGAAUAACGAAGGUCCCGUUAUUUUAUGGGCCUGGCCCGGAACAUUGUCCACCUUCCCAAAAACCCACUCUUCUCACCCUCAACUUUCUUCAACGUCCACUCUCUCUUCACUUUAAUUCUCUUCCAUUCCACUCCCCAAUGGCACCACCAAUAACCGACUCGGAACCAGAAUCCGAAGCGCUGCGCCUCAAGGCCAUGGCGGAGUCCAAGUUCAAAGCCUCCAACAACGCCAAAUCUGCUCUCAAAUACGCGAAGCGUGCGCAGCGUCUGUGCCCGCACCUCGACGGCGUGUCGGAGGCCGUCACUUCGCUCACUGUCCUCGCCGCGUCGGACUGGUAUAGUGCGCUCGGUACUGAGCCCUUUGCAAACAGCAGCGUCAUUCGGAGACAGUACAAGAAACUCGCACUGCUCCUCCAUCCCGACAAGAACCCCAACGUGGCGUCCGAGGAGGCCUUCAAGCUCGUCGGCGAGGCCUUCCACUUCCUUUCCGACCGGAGUCGCCGCCGAGAGUACGAUGCCGAGCUCCGACAGAAGAUCAAGGCGGAGAGCGAGACGUUCUGGACCGCCUGCUCCACUUGCAGGCUCCUUCACCAGUUCCAGAGAAAGUAUAUGGGUCAAGAAUUGGUGUGUCCGAGUUGUGAGAAGAGUUUUAAGGCUGUGGAAACGGUUCAGAGUGAUGGGGAUGGUGAUGGGGAAGGUAGGGUUAGGAGUAUGAGGUUGAAGUUGAAAGAGAUAAAUAAGAAGGAGAAAAUUGGUGUGAAAGGAAAAGUGGAUAGUGAAGUGGGGGAUGAGAAGGAAGGGAAAUUGAGGAAGAGAAUGCGUUCAGUCGGGGAGGUGUUGGAGAGGUCCAAACCUAGUAAAAGGGUUAAAAAUGGGGAGGAAAUGAUGACAUUAGCUGAAUUUCAGACUGAGGUGAGGAGAAAGUUGCAGGAAAAAAAGUUGAAGGAAAAAGAAAAGGAAAAGGAGGAUGAUAGAAUUGAGAAGAGGAGCAACCGGGGGGAGAGGCGGCGGACAUUGAAAAACUCUGAAGGUUUAGAGGUUGGAGAGGGGAGGGCUUUGAAGAAGAGUGUGAGGCUUGGGAUUGAGGAGAGUCUUGUGGGUUUAUCGAAGAGAAAGGGGUUGAGAUCUGCGAGGCAUAGGGAUUCUGAUAAAGGGGAGUCGGAAAACAUGGCGGUGGUGGAUUCAGAUUUUUAUGAUUUUGACAAAGAUAGAGUGGAGAAGAGUUUUAAGAAAGGUCAAGUGUGGGCAGUGUAUGACGAUGAUGAUGGAAUGCCAAGGAAUUAUGCCCUGAUUGAUGAAACUCUUUCACUGAAUCCUUUUGAAGUGAGAUUAAGUUGGUUAGAUGUACAGAUCAGUGGGGAUGGGAGGAUAGUUAGUAGGGAGAGAAUGGGGUUUCAUACACCUUGUGGGAGAUUUAAGGUUGCCAGGAAGACUUCGGUGAAUUCGGUAAAUAUAUUUUCCCAUGUUGUGGAUUGUGACCGGGCAGCACGUGAACUUUACAAAAUUUACCCCAAGAAAGGCUCGGUAUGGGCGCUGCAUGGCGAGGGAAGUAUUGAUGCAGAGGACCGCAAGAGAUGCUAUGACAUUGUUGUAUGUCUGACAAGUUACAAUGAGUCAAAUGGUCUGAGCAUGGCGUAUCUUGAGAAGGUCGAUGGUUACAAGACAGUAUUUAGGCGGCAAAAGAAGGGGAGUGGUGCUAUUAUAUUUCUUGGGAAGGAUGACAUGUGCUUAGUUUCUCAUCAAAUUCCAGCACGGAAGCUUAUUUGUGAUGAAACUCCUGAACUGUUGAAAGACUGUUGGGAACUUGAUCCCGCAUCACUUCCUUCAGAUUUACUUACUAUUGGUGGCAUUGAUAAUUGAGAUUAAAGAUAUAUUCUACUGGAUUAACCUGUUUGUCAGCCAGCACUAUAAACUUGUUACAUGGCAUAGUCGUGCUAAAGCAUUAUUCGGCCUCCUCCACUGAUUGGGGUCUAUGUUUUUUUCCCAUACUUAAGAGGUGAUGUUUGCAAAUGGAUGUUGUGUGUACAAAGUAUUUCAGUUAAUGUCCCUUUCAAGCUUAAGGCAGAAAAAGAGGUAGAGUAUUAUGUAAUUGAACUGCAAUCCUCUUAAUUGUGGUAAAUUGAGUUACGAUUAAAUAUUGCUUAAGGAAUUAAGUCAUCAUGGGUAGCCACUGAUCUGCAUUCUAAUCUAUAUCUGGUCACUUCUGUACUUUGUCAUGACUGUUGUAUUUGGUUUUAAUGCACAAUCAAAUUAUAUUACCUUUUCAUUACCUGCAUAGAUUAUCAUUUAUGGGUGUUAAAUAACUAGCGCGGCUACCAAUUCAUGUUUGUAAAUUUUGGUAUUACUAAAUCUAUUAAAUGUUUAAGGCUCCUUAGCUUGGCCAGGAGGAAAUGUUGCCUAAACUUUAAUCUGUGUAUUCUGGGUUCCCGGCCAACAGAACAGUUCUUAAAAAUAAGAGUCAUUGUUUCUGGAAACAUUAACAGUGAUUCCUCUAGUCUAGUGUCUAUUCUAUGCACCAUAUUUUUUAGUAGUGUUUCAUCUUGAGCUUCUGCAGUUAUCUUUAAGGUAAUUCAGGUAUUUGCUUUCCUGUUUAUCGUCAAGGAUAACAAGCUGGUAGUAAAUAUGUCAUGCAUAUAAGUGUGACGCCAGUUGGAUUGUCAGACAUAUAUACAAAAAGAUGUCUAGCUAGCAGAAAAUAAUUACCAUUAGAGUGCUCUGUACAGCAAUGUAAAUUCUGUAAUUGCAGGAGUCCUUAAAUUCAUUUUGUCAUGUUUCGUCAGGUAUCUGUGUAGAAUGUUUGUUUCUUUGCAAGGCCAUUACUCAAGUUCAAUACAACUGUCUUGUAUAAACUCUAAAACUCAGCUAACUAAAGCAGAUAUCUUAUUAUUUAACUCUAAGAAAGCAGUUGGCUUUUUAGUGGAUCUGUGAUUGUUUUUUUGCUUUGCUUGCACAUUAAUUAUUUUCAUUGGAAGUAUGACUGAUAUAAAUUUCAAAACUCGGGCUCAUUACUUAUUUACAUCAAUAUUGAGGCUCGGUUCUUCAGUUUUAAGCUUGCACAAUGUUGAGACAAGGGAAAUAAAAUCAACAUAUUCUUUUUGUAAGGUCUAUUUCUUUUGCUUUGUGCUUUUCUGUCAUGACCUUGGCAUGUAACAUGAUAUAUAUGAUUUUUUAUCCGUAAAGAACAUCUUCCGUCAAUGCAGUGCAUUGAAACACAAGUGUACUAGAAAGGUACUAAGCUUUUUGGAAAUGAUGUUAGAAGAGAACGUGAAAUACAUGAGUAACUCUUUUUGGUUGGACGGUAGCUUGAGCUUAAGAUUUUAAGAUCUGUGAAAGGACAGUAUCCAAUCAAGAGAAAUGAAAGCAGCAUCCCUUUUAAAACAUUUUUUUAAGACAUUUAUUAUUCAUUGAAAUUUAUAAUCAUAAAAUUCUUAUUUAAUGAAUUCCGGUAUUAAUUUCUAAGAUUUAUGCAUUCCCUGUUUCUUAAUCUAUAUUGCUGGACUAUCUGAACUUUUAGUGUCAACUUAGU